CCUACGGGAGGCAGCAGUGAGGAAUAUUGGUCAAUGGACGAGAGUCUGAACCAGCCAAGUAGCGUGAAGGAUGACUGCCCUAUGGGUUGUAAACUUCUUUUAUAUGGGAAUAAUAUGUUCCACGUGUGGGAUUUUGUAUGUACCAUAUGAAUAAGGAUUGGCUAACUCCGUGCCAGCAGCCGCGGUAAUACGGAGGAUCCGAGCGUUAUCCGGAUUUAUUGGGUUUAAAGGGAGCGUAGGUGGAUUGUUAAGUCAGUUGUGAAAGUUUGCGGCUCAACCGUAAAAUUGCAGUUGAAACUGGCAGUCUUGAGUACAGUAGAGGUGGGCGGAAUGCGUGGUGUAGCGGUGAAAUGCUUAGAUAUCACGAAGAACUCCGAUUGCGAAGGCAGUUCACUGGACUGCAACUGACACUGAGGCUCGAAAGUGUGGGUAUCAAACAGGAUUAGAUACCCUAGUAGUC
rnacentral:rRNA from 1 species